ensembl:misc_RNA predicted gene, 28016
CAGAAGCUGCCUUCCAAUGCGGCUUGGCUGUGAUUCACAGAGGGGAAAAGCAGGAAUAGCCCUGCUGGGUCCCAGAAGCUUUAAGAUUCAUCGCCUUGAACUUGAUCCAUUACAGCAAAGCACCUUGAAAAUGAAUCAUCGGCUAGUUCGGUAUUUUCUCCUUGCAAUCACUCCCUCCCAGGACAUGUAAUUAAUUUCCUGAGCUUUGGGGGAAAAAAAA